rnacentral:rRNA from 1 species
GGGGAUACAAAUAUAAGACGAGAAGACCCCAUGGAGCUUUAAACCCAACGACACCCAUUUUCUUUAUACCCUAGUAUUCAUUUGGCUAUGUUUGAUUGGUUUUAGGUUGGGGUGACCACGGAGCAUAAAAUAACCUCCACGAAGAAGAGACUAAUAAUCUUUAUCAAAGAAGUACACUUCUAAGAAUUAACAAAUUAAUUUCCAAUGAUCCGAUAUUCGAUCAACGAACCAAGUUACCCUGGGGAUAACAGCGCAAUCCACCUCAAGAGCUCCUAUCGACAGGUGGGUUUACGACCUCGAUGUUGGAUCAGGAUAUCCCAGUGGUGUAGCAGCUACUAAAGGUUCGUUUGUUCAACGAUUAAAAUCCU